AAUAAGGUUAUUUUUCAGUUUUUAGAUAUAAUGUUUUGACUCUCCGUCUUAUUUGAAUUUUUUUGCGAUUAGUAUUUUUAUCGUUACUGGAUGAUAAAAUACGAAUAGUACUUUAUGCGUAACUAAUAUUUUUAAGUUUUUGUAUAAUUUUUUUAACUAAGAUAAAUGAUCAAUGCAUUAGACACAGAAAUCAAAAAAUAACGUUAUU
rnacentral:pre_miRNA from 1 species